rnacentral:rRNA from 1 species
AUUGAACGCUGGCGGCAUGCCUUACACAUGCAAGUCGAACGGCAGCACGGGAGCAAUCCUGGUGGCGAGUGGCGAACGGGUGAGUAAAGUAUCGGAACGUGCCCAGUCGUGGGGGAUAACGUAGCGAAAGUUACGCUAAUACCGCAUACGAUCUAUGGAUGAAAGCGGGGGAACGCAAGACCUCGCGCGAUUGGAGCGGCCGAUAUCAGAUUAGGUAGUUGGUGGGGUAAAGGCCCACCAUGCCGACGAUCUGUAGCUGGUCUGAGAGGACGACCAGCCACACUGGGACUGAGACACGGCCCAGACUCCUACGGGAGGCAGCAGUGGGGAAUUUUGGACAAUGGGCGAAAGCCUGAUCCAGCCAUGCCGCGUGCAGGAUGAAGGCCUUCGGGUUGUAAACUGCUUUUGUACGGAACGAAAAGGACUGCCCUAAUACGGUGGUCCCAUGACGGUACCGUAAGAAUAAGCACCGGCUAACUACGUGCCAGCCGCCGCCGUAA